rnacentral:rRNA from 1 species
AGAGUUUGAUCAUGGCUCAGAGCGAACGCUGGCGGCAGGCUUAACACAUGCAAGUCGAGCGCCGUAGCAAUACGGAGCGGCAGACGGGUGAGUAACACGUGGGAACGUACCUUUUGGUUCGGAACAACUGAGGGAAACUCCAGCUAAUACCGGAUAAGCCCUUACGGGGAAAGAUUUAUCGCCGAAAGAUCGGCCCGCGUCUGAUUAGCUAGUUGGUGAGGUAAUGGCUCACCAAGGCGACGAUCAGUAGCUGGUCUGAGAGGAUGAUCAGCCACACUGGGACUGAGACACGGCCCAGACUCCUACGGGAGGCAGCAGUGGGGAAUAUUGGACAAUGGGCGCAAGCCUGAUCCAGCCAUGCCGCGUGAGUGAUGAAGGCCCUAGGGUUGUAAAGCUCUUUUGUGCGGGAAGAUAAUGACUGUACCGCAAGAAUAAGCCCCGGCUAACUUCGUGCUAGCAGCCGCGGUAAUC